rnacentral:rRNA from 1 species
GAUGAACGCUGGCGGCGUGCCUAAUACAUGCAAGUCGAGCGAACAGACGAGGAGCUUGCUCCUCUGACGUUAGCGGCGGACGGAUGAGUAACACGUGGAUAACCUACCUAUAAGACUGGGAUAACUUCGGGAAACCGGAGCUAAUACCGGAUAAUAUAUUGAACCGCAUGGUUCAAUAGUGAAAGACGGUUUUGCUGUCACUUAUGGAUGGAUCCGCGCCGCAUUAGCUAGUUGGUAAGGUAACGGCUUACCAAGGCAACGAUGCGUAGCCGACCUGAGAGGGUGAUCGGCCACACUGGAACUGAGACACGGUCCAGACUCCUACGGGAGGCAGCAGUAGGGAAUCUUCCGCAAUGGGCGAAAGCCUGACGGAGCAACGCCGCGUGAGUGAUGAAGGUCUUCGGAUCGUAAAACUCUGUUAUUAGGGAAGAACAAAUGUGUAAGUAACUAUGCACGUCUUGACGGUACCUAAUCAGAAAGCCACGGCUAACUACGUG